rnacentral:lncRNA from 1 species
AGCACAGCGCUGGGCUCCAGCCCUGAUGCAGAGGUACAAAGCUCGUCUGGGCAGAUUGUUAUGCAAAUCAAAAGAGGAAGCAGAGCUAGGGGAGCCGAGGAGCUCCUGCUGGGCUCUGCCAGGGAAGAAGCCGCAGUAGGAGCCCCUACGUAGGCCCUGCAAGAGGCCUGGCGUUCAGGAAAGGGCCCGCUGACCAUCCAGUGCAGGGAAAGGAGUCCAGCUCUGGCCUCUGCCCCUCAGCUCCACCUCCUGCAUUCCUAGGAGUUCUCCAGAGGAUCUGAUGGGAGCUCAGAACCGGUCCCAACAGCUCCCUCCACCCUUCAUGAACGGGGGCUGGAAAAUGUGGUCUGCUCUGAUAAGGAUUUGCGUCAGGCUACUGGCUACUCAGCAGCCGAGAAGAGCAAGCCUCCAGGCCUCUGCACGCGUGCCUUCUGCCCGCCUGCCUGGCCCUCGGAGGCUGCCCAGUGCAUCAUAGUACAUCCCACGGUGGCUCCCCAGAUGGAUUCUGACUCAGCAGCAGACGCAGCAGGGCAGGCAAAAGGAUGUGGGGGAAACCUCACUGUGGCUCAUCACCACGUCCAUCUGCCUCACCAAGUUCCCAGCAAGGAGUCGGCCCUGAUGGGUGUAUUCCUCAGCCACAGCUCCUCAGUGGGCCAGCAAGGUGACUCGAAGGGCCUCUGCCACCUCUAAGAUUGGGGAACAGGAAAGAUGGACCUGGCCCCACCCCAGCCUGCGGGUCACCACCCAUGGCGGGACAAGUGAGAAAAGUUGGCCUUGCUCACCGCUGGAGCCCAAACCACAGGUUUCAUUUCCCCUUGAUAAAGACAAUGUUUGCUAUUGUUGCAUCUGAUGGUAAAAGCAAGUCAUAUUCACUAUCAAAAAGUUUGAAAGGCGGCCGGGCACGGUGGCUCACACUUGUAUUCCCAGCAUUUUGGGAGGCCGAGGCAGGCGGAUCACAAGGUCAAGAGAUCGAGACCAUCCUGUCCAACAUGGUGAAACCCCAUCUCUACUAAAAAUACAAAAAUUAGAUGGGCAUGGUGGCGUGCACCUGUAGUUCCAACUACUUGGGAGGCUGAGGCAAGAGAAUCGCUUGAACCCGGGAGGCAGAGGUUGCUGUGAGCCCCAAGAUUGCACCACUACACUCUAGCCUGGCAACAGAGCGAGACUCCGUCUCAAAAAACAAAAAAAAAAAGGAAAAUAAGAAUCCAGCCUCAAGCCUGUCACCCAGGAACAAUCACUCUAGUUGGCUGGUGUAUUUCCCUCCAGUCUUUUUUUCAGUGUAUGUAUAUAAACUUUAUUUAUAUAUAUUAUUUUAUAGCCAGCUGC